UUACGGCAGGGCUUGAGCCCACUGUAUCCUUUCUCACUUUCUUUUCGCAGAUACGCCCAUGUAUUUGGUCCAGAAGGAUCCAUAUAGGUCUGUGAGCCUAAACCACAUAUUCCAUUCCAGCUUCUCCUGGCGAGUCCUGAACUGAGUACCAUACGGCUUGCACCACCAAUAAUCAUGUCACUUGUGUGUGAGCUCCUUUGAAAAUAUCAUGGGGAGGACAAAUGAUGAGCUGGAGCCUUUGUUUGUUUGAUAACAAAAAUAACAAACUAUUUGUUGUGAAAACAACUUUCGAAGAAGAGAAAAGAAAUGGAACCAUUCAGAAGUUCAUAGAGUCAAAAGAGAAAGUACGCUUUACCUCUUCAUGCAUCUCCUUCCCCUUGGAUCUUAUUCCUCACUCUUUCUAGAGUGUCCCUUUAAUCAAGAUUUGUAAAACCUACACAGAGUACAAACGCAAGGACCAGAAACCAAGGGGGCAGAGCUAUUAUAUCUCAACAGCUCCAAGGGCCUCUCUGUACAGAAACUCAGAAAAAGGACUUCUUUUCUGAAAGUAAAACAAACAAGAAACUGAAGGAAAAGGUUAACUGAUGGGCAGCACUUCCUGUUUAAUAAGGUAAGGAGGCGUAUAGCGCUGCUUAUAAAGACUCCCAUAAGCACUGUAAACAUAUACAGAAGUUCUGGCACUAAACAAAGACCUUCUGCCCUUCAGACAUUUAACUUUGGUGGAAAAGUUCCUUCUUCACUUCUA
rnacentral:lncRNA from 1 species